UAAAUCUUAAGAUUGUUGGAUAAAGCCUC
rnacentral:piRNA from 1 species